AACGCGCCGCCGCGCGCCCGGCCCGGUUACCAGGGGGCGAAGAACAUGACGAAGUGCGGGGCGCUCUGGGCGGCGUGGCGCAGCAUCUCGGCGUUGUAACGGUGCCGCACGUGCGGAUCCGGCUCCGGCUCGGGCUCCGGCUCCAGCUCCGCAUCGCCCCGCGCCGGGGCCGCGCACAGGAGGCCUCCGAGCAGCAGCAGCAGCAGCCGCGCCGGGCCGGGCCGGGGGGAGGUGCCGCGGCACAGAGCAGCGGCCAUGGCGGAGCGCGAGAGACAGAGAGAAGCCGGGCCACGUCCGCCGACCGCCUCUCUCCGUGCCGGCGCCAGCCCCCGCCCCCUGCCCGGCGUCUUCCGGCCCCGCCUCCCCGGGGUCAAAGGGCACCGGGAGGGGGAACUCAGAGCACGAGAGAGUCGCCCCUGUUACCCAUCCUCCACUCACUCUCCACCACCGCCUGUAGCCGCCUCCCCCACCUUCUCUCUAUGCACUUCCCAGACACCCUCCCUACCCAUACCUGUGACCUACCUCAGCCCCGAGCUCGUUCUGCCUCACUGCACCCUCGCUCCUGCCCCUCGCUGUGUCUACACCCUCCCCAGCCCACCCCGCACCCGCUGCUGCUGCCCACCCACGUCCCCCCUACUCCUUCCUUACGCCCUUCCCUCUCACACUGCAAACUCCCUGUCAGGGCCAUGGACCAGUCAGGCCAUAAAUCUGGUGGGGUUGAAGCGGAUGUGCGUUCCGGGUGAUCACUUUUGGAAUCAUCUAACAAACCUUUUACAUGAGCAAAUAAGAUGACGCAAAGACACCCAUCUGUCCACACACACACACUGCACCAGGAGUGUAAAUCUAGAAAUUCUGCUAAAUCACAUAACUUUAAAAAAAGUUUCUUUGCAGAAAUCCAUGAAGAAAAGGUACAUAGACCCUUAGCACAUCCUGAGUUAACAAUGUGAACGAAGACAAGUAACAGAUGCCUAAUUGAAUUUCAAUCAUUAGAUGAUAUUUGUACCAGAUCAGCCAUGACAUCUCAAAGAACUGCUGUUACUAUAUGGAGUGUGAAGACUGGCUUCUUCUCUUGAAGUGUGAGAUUUGGGGUAGAAGACUGGCAACUGAAUAUCCUGGUUGAUGUGGAAGUCCAGUAAAAUCUUGUUUGUUUAGGACCUUGAGAUGCAAUGGUGUUGGGGGAGAAGCAUAUGGCAGAGUUCAAGGCCAACUGGUAAGGAAGGUGUCCCCUAAUGAUUUGUGGUUGUGUCCUCCCAUCAAGCAAAAUCACUGGUAUUUCAUGUUGGAUGGUGUCGCAAAUAAAUCUAUCUUUGGGAUGUCCCAGGUGAGAAUCUUCUGUAGGAUAAGAUCACUCAACUCCCAUUCGAGGUGCUGGAGAAAUGUUUGCUAUGGUGUUUUGCUGACCAGGUAGAUAUGCCACUGAGAUGUCAAUUUGGUGCAUUAUGCCCCAGUUCCAAAGUUUUAUUGCCUCUGUGCACAAGGACCUUACACCUCUUGGUGGUUUAUUUAGUACAUGGUUUCUCUGUUUAUCUCUUGACUCUGACUAAGUAACCCUGAAUCGUGGGUAGAAAGUGGUCACAUAUGUACUGAACUGCUCUGAGCUCAAGUAGAUUGAUGUGAGGAGCAGACACCUCAAGGGUCCAUCUGCCUUGUGCUAUGAGGUCCUGGAGGUGAGCUCUCCAGUCUAGUAGGGAGACAUCUGUGGUGCUUAUCUUUGUGGGGAGUAUGAGAGAAUGGAACUCCCAGGCAAACCUUGUGGGGAUCCCUCUGUGAUGGGGCGUCAACCCCAGACGGGCAGAGAAGGGACUAACAGAGCCGUGGGAAGGCUGCUUGGGAAACAGCCAGACUGCGAGGAACAGCCAAUUAGGGCCCAGCAGGUCCAUAUAAAAGGGAGCUGCAGGGAAGAAUAGUUCAGUUGCUGCUGGGAGCCCAUGGAGUGAGGAUUGUAUCCCUGGAGGGCUGAGAGAACUGUAAGCGCCUUGGACCGAGCAGUGGCUGGUUCUUGGGACUGAGCAGCUGAGUGCCCUGAGCUGAGGGCAAAGAAGGUACUGAAGCUGUGGGGAAGUGGCCGAGGGAAAUAGAGCAGUAUUGACAGAGUUACAGAGGAGCAAUAGGAGGCUGCUAUUUACAGGAUCCUUGGGUUCGGGCCCAGAGUAGUGGAUGGGCCUGGGACCCCCUCACUCGCCACGAGGGAAGUGGCUGGACUGUUGGACAGAGAUACUCUCCCCAGGAAGUGGGGAACCACAGACAGUGACACGGCCGGAUGGCUCAGUCAAGACGAGGACCCUGCGGUUCUGGCUGAGAGAGGAGCUGUAGGCGGGAAAAGAGACAGAGUGCCAGUGUGCAGACCGCAGAUGUGGGCGUUGGCCUUGAGCUAAUCCCCAUCAUGACAAGGAGGAGGUGCCAGUCUGGCGAUGAGGACUGUACCCUGUGACACCCUCCACCAAUUGAGAGAGUUGAGAACUCUGAGCAUUGGGCACAGAGAGUGCAGACUGCCAUAAGAUGUUACAAGAGUACAGGCUGUCACAUGGCUCAAAAUCUGAAGUCAGGUCCUUCUAAUGGUUUGAGGAUUCUGCUGUAGCAUGGAGAGGAGGUUGGACAUCAUGACAAACCUGUCCCUGGGGAAGUAUGCCCUGGCAGUUGUGGAGUCCAAGGUGACCCCUAUGAAGUUGAUGUGUUGGACAGAUGUCAAAGAUUGCAUUGAACCAGAGUCCCACAGAGUGGAAAUGUGCUAGGGUCUUGUUGCUGCUGACUGUACCUCAUGGAGAGAACAACCCUUGAGGAGCCAGUCAUCGAGAUAGAGGAAGGUGACUUUUCCCAUUUGCCACAGAUGGGCCAUGACAACUGAGAUGACCUUUGUGAAGACUCCCACGUCAGUUGGGAGGCCAAAGGGAAGCACUUAGUACUGACAGCGGUCAUUGCUGAUGAUGAACUGGAGGCGGUGUCUGUGAGCUGGAUGUAUUGCUACCUGAAAAUAUGCAUCCUGAAAGUCAAGGCUCACAAACCAGCCUCCUGGAUCUAAUAAUGGUAUUAUUGCGGCGAGGGUUACCAUAUUGAACGUCCACGUUUGGAUGAAUGUGUUCAGUCUUGGUCUCCAUCCUCCUUUUUGCUUGCAUACCAGGAAGUAGCUGGAGUAGAACCCUUUUCCGAUGAAAGAAGGAGGAGCUGGUUGGAUCACCCCCAGGAGCAAGAGGGGAUGUGGAUGCCCAGAGAUCAAAGGGUCACUCUAGAAUCCUUUACUGUGUGAAGGAAUUAAUCUGUGGCAUUGCUGAAGAGCUUAAGUCUUCAAAGGCAAGAUCCUCUACUGUAUUCUGGAUUUCCCUGCAAAGUCCAAAGGAGAAUAGCCAUGAAGCAUAGUGAAUAACUAUAGUGGAUGCCACAGAAAGAAAUUAGUUUUUGGCCUCAUCCAAAGAGGCUCGCAAAGAGGCUUUGGCAGUCAUCUGACAUUCAGUGAUGAGAGCCUGAAACUGGUCCUUCUGGUCUUGUGGUAAAUAAGCAAUAAAAUGAGAGAACU